AGAGUUUGAUCCUGGCUCAGGAUGAACGCUGGCGGCGUGCCUAAUACAUGCAAGUCGAGCGAACGGACGAGAAGCUUGCUUCUCUGAUGUUAGCGGCGGACGGGUGAGUAACACGUGGAUAACCUACCUAUAAGACUGGGAUAACUUCGGGAAACCGGAGCUAAUACCGGAUAAUAUUUUGAACCGCAUGGUUCAAAAGUGAAAGACGGUCUUGCUGUCACUUAUAGAUGGAUCCGCGCUGCAUUAGCUAGUUGGUAAGGUAACGGCUUACCAAGGCAACGAUGCAUAGCCGACCUGAGAGGGUGAUCGGCCACACUGGAACUGAGACACGGUCCAGACUCCUACGGGAGGCAGCAGUAGGGAAUCUUCCGCAAUGGGCGAAAGCCUGACGGAGCAACGCCGCGUGAGUGAUGAAGGUCUUCGGAUCGUAAAACUCUGUUAUUAGGGAAGAACAUAUGUGUAAGUAACUGUGCACAUCUUGACGGUACCUAAUCAGAAAGCCACGGCUAACUACGUGCCAGCAGCCGCGGUAAUACGUAGGUGGCAAGCGUUAUCCGGAAUUAUUGGGCGUAAAGCGCGCGUAGGCGGUUUUUUAAGUCUGAUGUGAAAGCCCACGGCUCAACCGUGGAGGGUCAUUGGAAACUGGAAAACUUGAGUGCAGAAGAGGAAAGUGGAAUUCCAUGUGUAGCGGUGAAAUGCGCAGAGAUAUGGAGGAACACCAGUGGCGAAGGCGACUUUCUGGUCUGUAACUGACGCUGAUGUGCGAAAGCGUGGGGAUCAAACAGGAUUAGAUACCCUGGUAGUCCACGCCGUAAACGAUGAGUGCUAAGUGUUAGGGGGUUUCCGCCCCUUAGUGCUGCAGCUAAC
rnacentral:rRNA from 1 species